rnacentral:rRNA from 1 species
AUUGAACGCUGGCGGCACGCCCUACACAUGCAAGUCGAACGGCAGCACGGGAGCAAUCCUGGUGGCGAGUGGCGAACGGGUGAGUAAAGUAUCGGAACGUGCCCAGUCGUGGGGGAUAACGUAGCGAAAGUUACGCUAAUACCGCAUACGAUCUAUGGAUGAAAGCGGGGGAUCGCAAGACCUCGCGCGAUUGGAGCGGCCGAUAUCAGAUUAGGUAGUUGGUGGGGUAAAGGCUCACCAAGCCGACGAUCUGUAGCUGGUCUGAGAGGACGACCAGCCACACUGGGACUGAGACACGGCCCAGACUCCUACGGGAGGCAGCAGUGGGGAAUUUUGGACAAUGGGCGAAAGCCUGAUCCAGCCAUGCCGCGUGCAGGAUGAAGGCCUUCGGGUUGUAAACUGCUUUUGUACGGAACGAAAAGGUUUGGGCUAAUAAGCUGAGCUCAUGACGGUACCGUAAGAAUAAGCACCGGCUAACUACGUGCCAGCAGCCGCAGUAA